GUGUCUGUGGCGGUGGGAUCCCGCGGCCGUGUUUUCCUGGUGGCCCGGCCAUGCCUGAGGUUUCUCCCUCAGCCGCCCCUCUGCGGGCUCCCAGACGGAAUGAAGUUGAUAAUAGUGAGACCUUGUUGGUACAAGACUAUGUAACAUAACCUGCGCUUCUCAACAAAGAAUUGCUUUUCUGACUUCUGCACUCAAUAGCAAGACAAAUCUCUCCUCUGCCUUCUCCUUAUCAGACUACUCAACAUGAAGGCAAUAAGAAUGAAGACCUCUAUGUAUAAUAAUUGACUUCCACUUAAUAAAUAAGGUUACUUGGUACACUGGUCGACAAAACCUUGAAAUGUUGAUGUUUAAGGGCUGUUGAUUGCUGGCAGCAAAGAAGUCCAACUGUGCUGGUACCCGAGAUAGCGUCUCCACAUUUUCUUCCAGGAUCAUCACCUUUGUUCUAAAUAGCUCCCACAUAGUGUGAACAGAAGUCAUAUGUUUUAGAUUUUCUGCCUUGGCACCC
rnacentral:lncRNA from 10 species